rnacentral:snRNA from 9 species
AUACCUACCUGGCGUCGGGAUACCGUGACUAUGCAGGCGGUUCCCCUAGGGUGCGGCUGCUCCAUUGCACUGCGGAGUGGUUGACCCUUGCGAUUAUUUUUAUAUUUUAUAAGUUUCACUUCUACCGUGUGUGACUUGCACACACACACAUUUUUUAUAUUAGUCUGUUUCCAAAAACACAGU